AGCAUUCUGCUGUUUUUAGGAAUCUACUUCAAGAAGUGAAUGUUCUCCUGACAGGAGUGCUCUGCUGUUUUCCAGUAUUCUACUGCAAAAACGAAUCUACUUCAAGAAGUGAAAGAUCUCCUGACAGGAGUGCUCUGCUGUUUUCCAGUAUUCUACUGCAAAAACGAAUCUACUUCAAGAAGUGAAAGAUCUCCUGACAGGAGUGCUCUGCUGUUUUCCAGUAUUCUACUGCAAAAACGAAUCUACUUCAAGAAGUGAAAGAUCUCCUGACAGGAGUGCUCUGCUGUUCUCCAGUAUUCUACUGCAAAAAUGUGAGUCAAAGAUCCUCUAUAUGACAGAAG